UUAUGCUAUAGUAUUAAACAGUAUUUGCAGAUCAUUUCCUCAAAGCGAUGAAAACAAUUCUGUUAACCACUAUCCAUUAACCAUAUGAACCUCAACCAACCCCCAACCAUCAGCAGUAAAUAACCCCUUUAACCAGUAACCAUUUACGAUAAGAAUGUCAACCAAACCCUAAAUGAUCGUUAACCACAGUUAGGCCUAACCUCAUGAACCUCAACUAAUUCCAAACCAUUAACAGUAAAUAACAAUCCUAUUUACCAUGAGAACCUCAACUAACCCCCAACCAUUAACAAACAAUACGUAACCACUAGCCAUUAGCCUAUUACCAAUUACCCAUUUCCUAAUUAAUCAAAAUGAGGAAUGUGAUCUGUCUAAAUGCUGUAAAAUACUUUGAAAAAAUAAAGCGUUGCUGAUGUACUUCACUGCAUUCGAUGUGCUCUUUUGUGUUCAAAAAUCAACAGCACAUUUCUCAAUUGGCCUUGAAUCAAAAUUUUCAAAAAUAUUUUUCUAAAAACGUUGUAAAUGCCCCAACUAGGCAUUUUUUGGGAAAAGUUUCUUUUAGUGCUACCUUGGCCCAAAUGAGAAUCAGUUUAACUGUGCAGGUUCCCUGGAUAAAAUAAAGGCAUAGUCUUCAACAAAGGAGGGAAAUCAACAUUAACCUCUGUCGCAGUGAACUAUAAGUCUAACUUUGACUUUGAGAAUUGAGAAGGGAGGAAUUUGUGGACAUGACACAAGCCACAGUGUUUGAAAGAAACAGCUCUCUUGGAGAACUUGAAAGACUAAUAUUAGUGAGGAAGAGAUUGCAAGGAUUCUAAAUGACCCACUGGAAGGAAAUUGGCUCAUGUCUGGUAUCCAUCUGGCAGAAGCUAUGCUCAUUCAACCUCAAGGAAUGGCCAUACCAGAACCACACUCUGGUACGACGAGUGAGCUGAAACAGUGGACUGAUGAAGAAACAAAAGUUUGAUACAAGGAACCACACUCUACUUUGGCGAGACCUGAAACAGUGGACUAAUGAAGAAAAUGAAAGUCUGG